rnacentral:misc_RNA from 1 species
GAUGAAGAACGUAGCGAAAUGCGAUACGUAAUGUGAAUUGCAGAAUUCAGUGAAUCAUCGAAUCUUUGAACGCAUAUUGCGCUCUCUGGUAUUCCGGAGAGCAUGCUUGUUUGAGUAUCAGUAAACACCUCAACUCCCUUUUCUUUUUUGAAAUUGGAGCUGGACUUGAGUGAUCCCAACGCUUUCUUCCAAGAAAGUGGCGGGUUGCUUGAAAUGCAGGUGCAGCUGAACUUUUCUCUGAGCUAUAAGCAUAUCUAUUUAGUCUGCCUAAAAAACAGAUUAUUACCUUUGCUGCAGCUAACAUAAAGGAGACUAGUUCUUGUGCUGACUGAUGCAGGAUUCACAGAGACAGCUUCGGCUGACUUUGUCAACUCGAUCUCAAAUCAAGUAAGACUACCCGCUGAACUUAAGCAUAUCAAUAAGCGGAGGA